AGAGCGAGCUUCGGAGAAGCAGUGGUGGGUUCCAUGUGAUGGUGGAGUAGGAGGCAGGUCUCCGCGUCUCGCUGUAUUGCCCAGGCUGGAGUGCAGUGGCAUGAUCUCAGCUCACUGCAAGCUCUGCUUCCUGGGUUCACGCCAUUCUCCUGCCUCAGCCUCCUGAGUAGCUGGGAUUACAGGCACCCGCCACCACGCCCAGGAAAGAAAAAAGAAGAAAACAAACCUCCAUACGAGAAUGGGUCUAAAGGAACUUCCCAAACCUCCAUGAUUUUGCAGGAAACAAGAUAAAGGUGGUUUCCACAAGAAAAAUGGCACAAUGUUUCUCAGAAGACAAUUACAUAAGAAUCAGCAUACUUCAAAUUCACAGCAAAUAAUCAGACAAUUGAUGAAAAUACUUACCCAAACACUAAUUGUAGACUAUGCCUUCUGAAUAUGUUUGUCAUAAACUUGGAGUAAGGAAUCCUCACAGGCACUGGACAAUUCAAAAAACGUAAAGUUGUUUGUUAGAAUACUGGUGCUUUUGGGUAGAAACCCUCAUCCAUAUCCUGGUAAGGCUUGAAGUUGCACAGGAGUUUUCAUUUGUCAAAACCCAGAAAACCAUAAGCUUUAGAUUUGUGAAUUUUAUAUUGUAUUAUAUGU
ensembl:lncRNA DUXAP10 double homeobox A pseudogene 10